GGGGAUUUAGCUCAGUGGUAGAGCGCUUGCCUAGCAAGUGCAAGGCCCUGGGUUCAAUCCCCAGCUCCG
rfam:Rattus norvegicus chromosome 5, whole genome shotgun sequence.